GGGGGGGGGGGGGGGGGGGGGUGGGGGGGGGGGGGGGGGGGGGGGGGCGGGGGGCUGGCGGCGCGGGUGUUGGCGGCGGGCGGGGGGGGCACGGGGGGGUCGCCUACCGAUAGUACUGGGAUAGCUUCGGGCACCGGGGGCUAAUACCGGAUACUAUUUUGAACCUCAUGGUUCAAACGUGAACGUCUGUCUUGCUUUCCCGUAUUGAGGGAUCCGCGCUGCAUGAGCGAGUGGGUAAGGUAACGGAUUACGGAGGCAACGAUGCAUAGCCGACGUGAGAGGGUGAUCGGCCACAAUGGAACUGAGACACGGUCCAGACUCCUACGGGAGGCAGCAGUAGGGAAUCUUCCGCAAUGGGCGAAAGCCUGACGGAGCAACGCCGCGUGAGUGAUGAAGUUCUUCGGAUCGUAAAACUCUGUUAUUAGGGAAGAACAUAUGUGUAAGUAACUGUGCACAUCUUGACGGUACCUAAUCAGAAAGCCACGGCUAACUACGUG
rnacentral:rRNA from 1 species